rnacentral:lncRNA from 1 species
AGCUCACACAUAUCAUUACUCUACCCCUUGCAAAGUUAGUAAGUUGCAAAAGUAUAUUAUAUGAUUCAGAAUCUGGGUAAGCAAGGAUUUGUAUAGUAAGACUUUACAAAUCCUUGGUGAAAGUUAUAAAUAUUUCAGUUAAGUAAUUCAGGGGCAGUCAUGGACACAAAAAUGAAACAGAAGGAGAAAUGGACUGACGAACCAACUCCUUAUCACUGUUAACCGCCAUUUUAAAAAGAGGGGCUACUUAUAUUAUAAUAAGAUUUUUACCUUUUUAUUAUUUUGUAGUAAUGUGGUCAUGGUUAAUAGUGGCAAAGAUAAUUUCAUAAUAGCUAAAAGAACAAAAUUUCUAAGGUUGAGCUGCACUGUGUGGUCUAAAUUGACAUUGUUGUUUUAGCAUCUAAUAAGAAUAAAUAACUGUUCAAGAGACAACCAACAAAUUGUUAUCAAAUAGGUUGUAGUAAAGGUUUGUGUUUAUAUUGCU